rnacentral:pre_miRNA from 1 species
UAAGUACUCCCUCCGUCCGGAAAUACUUGUCAUCAAAAUGAAUAAAAGAGAAUGUAUCUAGAUGUAUUUUAGUUCUAGAUACAUCCCUUUUUGUCCAUUUUGAUGACAAGUAUUUUCAGACGGAGGGAGUAGGAU